AUGUACCCACGUACACUCCGGUUCCUCCGCGCCGUCCGCACCUACCUGACGACUGCUCGCUACGUUUUGUUAGCC
rnacentral:sRNA from 1 species